rnacentral:rRNA from 1 species
CUACGGGCCGCAGCAGUGAGGAAUAUUGCACAAUGGGGGGAACCCUGAUGCAGCAACGCCGCGUGGAGGAUGACGCAUUUCGGUGUGUAAACUCCUUUUAUAUGUCAAGAAAAUGACGGUAGCAUAUGAAUAAGCGCCGGCUAACUCCGUGCCAGCAGCCGCGGUAAUACGGAGGGCGCAAGCGUUACUCGGAAUCACUGGGCGUAAAGGACGCGUAGGCGGGUUGAAAAAUCAGGUGUGAAAGCCUACAGCUUAACUGUAGAACUGCACUUGAAACUCUCAAUCUAGAGUAUGGGAGGGGCAGAUGGAAUUAGUGGUGUAGGGGUAAAAUCCGUGGAUAUCACUAGGAAUACCUAAAGCGAAGGCGAUCUGCUGGAACAUUACUGACGCUAAGGCGUGAAAGCGUGGGGAGCAAACAGGAUUAGAUACCCUAGUAGUC